AAAUACAUGAAAAAGAAAUGAAAAUUCUGCCAUUAAAAUAGAUUUUAACACCCAUUUCUUAGCAGUAAAUAGAGAAGCUAGACCAAAAAAAUCAGGACAAAUUAUUUGAACCACUGUAUCAGCCACCUCAAUCUACUUGACAUUUGUAGAACACCACAUUCAACAACUGCAAAAUAUACUUUUUUUAGGUAUAUGUGGUUGGAUCACGGGGGCGGAAUGCCCCCUUGCUGCUGUCAUGGUAGAUCCCACGAGAUCGGGUAGUUUGAGAGUGCGCAGCGCCUUUGCUGUCUUCCUCCUUCUCCAGCCGUGUGGGAUGCGCCUGCUUCCCCUCUGCCUUCUGCCAUGAUGGCGCAGUCCCUGAGGCCUCCCCAGUCAUGCUUCCCGUGUAGCCGGCGGAACCAUGAGCCAAUUAAACCUCUUUUCUUUAUGAAUUACCCAGUCUCAGGUAGUUCUUUAAAGCAAUGUGAGAAUGGACUAAUACAUUGGGUGGUAAAACAAGUCUCAAUUUUUUUUUGUUUUGUUUUUGACUUGGAGUUUUGCUCUUGUUGAAGAUUAUGUAGCUCGUUUCGGGAAGCUUCUAUCUUCUUACGAUCUGCAGCAUCUAUCCUGUAAACAAUAGCCUUGACUCGUCGCUGUCACACGGGCUGGAGUGACGUGGCGCGAUCUCGGCUCACUGCAGGCUCCGCCUCCCGGGUUCAAGCGAUUCUUCUCCCUCAGCCUCCGAGUAGCUGGGAUUACAGGCACCCGCUACCACGCCCGGCUAAUU
rnacentral:lncRNA from 10 species